rnacentral:pre_miRNA from 1 species
UCCUAUGAAUGAGUAAAGAAAGUGGUUUCUUGAGAUGGAAUCUACUCCUGGUGAUAAUGCUAUAAA